GCAAGCUGAGCAAAGAGCAUGUGAGCAGAGCGUCUGUCUAGUAAACAGAAGGUCGCUGGUUCGAUUCCAGCAUGAGGCA
rnacentral:tRNA from 1 species